AACGGCGAGUGAAGCGGCAAGAGCUCAAAUUUGAAAUCUGGCCCCGUCAGGGGUUCGAGUUGUAAUUUGGAGAGGACACUUUGGGUGCGGCCGCGGCGUAAGUCCCUUGGAACAGGGCGUCACAGAGGGUGAGAAUCCCGUCUUGAGCCGCCGGACCGCGCCCGUGCAAAGUUCCUUCGACGAGUCGAGUUGUUUGGGAAUGCAGCUCUAAGUGGGUGGUAAAUUUCAUCUAAAGCUAAAUAUUGGCUGGAGACCGAUAGCGCACAAGUAGAGUGAUCGAAAGGUUAAAAGCACCUUGAAAAGGGAGUUAAAUAGCACGUGAAAUUGUUGAAAGGGAAGCGCUUGCAGCCAGACUCGGUCGUGGGGGCUCAGCGGGCAUGCGUGCCCGUGUACUCCCCCGCGUCCGGGCCAGCAUCGGUUUCGGCGGCCGGUCAAAGGCCCCGGGAAUGUACCAUCCUCCGGGAUGGCUUAUAGCCCGGGGUGCAAUGCGGCCAGCCGGGACCGAGGAACGCGCUCCGGCACGGAUGCUGGCGUAAUGGCUGUAAGCGGCCCGUCUUGAAACACGGACCAAGGAGUCUAACAUCCACGCGAGUGUUCGGGUGUCAAACCCGUGCGCGCAGUGAAAGCGAACGGAGGUGGGAGCCCUGGAGGGUGCACCAUCGACCGAUCCUGAAGUCUUCGGAUGGAUUUGAGUACGAGCGUGGCUGUUGGGACCCGAAAGAUGGUGAACUAUGCCUGAAUAGGGUGAAGCCAGAGGAAACUCUGGUGGAGGCUCGCAGCGGUUCUGACGUGCAAAUCGAUCGUCAAAUUU
rnacentral:rRNA from 1 species